GACGAACCGUGCGAACGUUAUUCGGAAUCACUGGGCUUAAAGAGCGUGUAGGCGGCCAUACAGGUCAGCUGUGAAAACUCGAGGCUCAACCUCGAGACGUCGGUUGAAACCGUAUGGCUAGAGUCCGGAAGAGGAGAGUGGAAUUCCCGGUGUAGCGGUGAAAUGCGCAGAUAUCGGGAAGAACACCCGUGGCGAAGGCGGCUCUCUGGGACGGUACUGACGCUGAGACGCGAAAGCGUGGGGAGCGAACAGG
rnacentral:rRNA from 1 species